GACGAACGCUGGCGGCGUGCCUAAUACAUGCAAGUAGAACGCACAGUUUAUACCGUAGCUUGCUACACCAUAGACUGUGAGUUGCGAACGGGUGAGUAACGCGUAGGUAACCUGCCUGGUAGCGGGGGAUAACUAUUGGAAACGAUAGCUAAUACCGCAUAAUAUUGAUUAUUGCAUGAUAAUUAAUUGAAAGGUGCAAUUGCACCACUACCAGAUGGACCUGCGUUGUAUUAGCUAGUAGGUGAGGUAACGGCUCACCUAGGCGACGAUACAUAGCCGACCUGAGAGGGUGAUCGGCCACACUGGGACUGAGACACGGCCCAGACUACUACGGGAGGCAGCAGUAGGGAAUCUUCGGCAAUGGACGAAAGUCUGACCGAGCAACGCCGCGUGAGUGAAGAAGGUUUUCGGAUCGUAAAGCUCUGUUGUAAGAGAAGAACGGGUGUGAGAGUGGAAAGUUCACACUGUGACGGUAUCUUACCAGAAAGGGACGGCUAACUACGUG
rnacentral:rRNA from 1 species